CCGGGGAUAGCUCAGUUGGAAGAGCAUCAGACUGUAACGGAUAACAUAUCUGAGGGUCGCAAGUUCGAUCCUUGCUCACCGGA